GCAGUUCACGACGCAGUAAGCCACGUGCUUUCUACAAAGCGAGAUUGAAAACGAAACCAUUAGUUUGAGCGACGUUAAGAAUUUUAGUUCCACGUGCAAGAAAUUUCAGUGGAUAUCCCAUUAUAAAACUCUCUGGAAGAAAAAAUAUGCUUAGAGAUGGCCUACUGCACAGCUAUUUUUUAAAGACAAAAUAGGCUUUGAAUUUGAUGACAUAAAUAUUAAAAAUUUAAAAAACGGAUUGAAAUGCACGGAAUAUUUUUGGCUUGAUGUGUCUCGUAUGUCUCAGAUGUAUUAUUACUGUAAUCUACACAGAAAAUAUACUACAAAAUUAUUCAAUCUGCAUGGAAAAAAGCAUGCAAAAGAACCUUUAAAUUUGUUGAUUUUAUAUGAUGAACUUACUAGAAAUAUAUAUCAACACAAGAUUUACGCCAACGCAAUUUAACAGAAAGAUACUAUAGCAUAAAUAUAUUUCGAUAUCUGUAUCAAGAUAUUCAUUCUUUACAUAAAAAAAAAUUGUAGCAAAACCCAAUCAUACGCAGCAUUUGGAGUAUUUAAUUGUCGUAAUAUUACAAUAUUGUCAUCCCAAUAAGGGUAUUACUAUGUUGUAUAUAGAUAAAUUUAUAGACAAUAUCGUGCAAGAAAUAUUAAAGUUGUUGAAACAUGAAUAUCUCCAGCAUCCAAUAUUGUCCAUGCAAUCUGAACAUUUAUCCAUUUGGAGAAAUAAUCGUGUUAAUAAGAAUUUUUGGUGCAAAAAAGACGCAAAAUC